UAGUCUAGUGGUUUAGACUAUGGAUCGUCAAUCCGGAGACGGCGGGUUCGAUUCCCGU
rnacentral:tRNA from 1 species